CCUUUUAAGCACUCACAAAAAGUGGACAACUUGAAAGUCUAUGACCAGCAGUUCUUCGGUGCCAAAUCAUAUUUUCAGCUGGCCAAACUGUUUAUGAUACCCCCAAUUCAAUGCCCCAUCUGCCUCGAUAAUUGCGUAACUUCGACUUGGCCACAUGGACGCUACAGUAGUGCGGCUGGAAAAACAGAAGACUGAGGCAACGAACUGCAAACAAGCAACAGGCGGCUGCUUUUUCGUACCGUUAAGUGCCAGGCUCUCGACUUCAUUAGAUUGUAAUAAACGCGUUUCGGUUACAGCCCCCAACAACCAGCAAAACACUGACAGUAACAUAAAAACAACGGCCAGCCAAAGAAGAAGAUCUAAGCCCGGCUUAUAAAUGCAAUUUCGCUCGCACAAAACUUCAAUGGACUUCAUUAAAAUAUUCGAAACACAAGCAGUUUAAGCACCGAAAACUUGUCAGUUUUGCACUGAGAGGCUGAAUUUGGCACAAAGAGGAAAAAAGAGUUUAAUAUAACGGAUAUAUUUUAAAUUAGUGGUUUGUCUAAGGCAAAGUUUCAGAAUAUAUCAAUACCAUUUAUUGAAACGAUUACUUU
ensembl:ncRNA lncRNA:TS3 long noncoding RNA: testis-specific 3